CCUUUAAUAUUGGGAUAUCCCCCUUCAACGAAAAUAAUAAACAAUAAAACAUUUGUAUGUUGUACCCAUAAUAUAAUCUAUUGAUAUACGUAUCAAUAUUUAAUAAAUAAUUUACUUCGUAUAAACAAAAGGUGUCUGUGUUCUAUUGAUUUUUAAACAAUUAUUAAAUAUAACAUUUAUUUUGCUAUAUAAACCGCAACAAAAAUUCUUACCAGACAUCACCAGUUAAACACCUGCUGAAAUAAUUAAAGCGAUCAUGAAAUUCACCAACAUUUUCGUUAUUGCCGCUGCAAUUAUUUGCGCCAUUAGCUCGGCUGAAGCUAGACCUGAGCCGAAACCAGAACCAUUGCCCGAGCCAAUUUUAAAUGUUGUUACUGGUCUCUUGGGCAGCAUUUUGGGCGGCAAAUAAUGGAUGUGGCUUAACUAAUAGCGGUUCAGAUGAUUGCAAACGAUACUACUAGAUAACAAAACAAUAAAAGAAAAAUUGGAUUUAAUAAAACUUGUUGAUAUUUUUAUUAAACUGUA